AAGGUGAUGAUUCAGUUGAUGAUACAUUAAAAUUUUUUUUUAAUUAUCAUCUUGCUUUGGCCAAAGACUUUCAGAAUCAUCGACCUAUGAGAUCAUAUAGGAUGUUCACUCUCCUUAUUAGGAGUGACUGAUUUUUUAUUGAUCACUCAUAACUUCUAUGCACAUUUCACCACAUCUAGAAUAUCCUAUACAAGGAUCAAAGAACCAAGUUAGGAAGUGAAUCAAAAUAUGG
rnacentral:lncRNA from 1 species